GACGAACCGUCCAAACGUUAUUCGGAAUCACUGGGCUGAAAGGGCGCGUAGGCGGCCGAGCGGGUCACGGGUGAAAUCCUCCAGCUUAACUGGAGAACUGCCCUUGAUACCACUGCGGCUCGAGGAAGGAAGGGGUCAUGGGAACUGUCGGUGGAGCGGUGAAAUGCGUUGAUAUCGACAGGAACGCCGGUGGCGAAAGCGCAUGACUGGUCCUUUUCUGACGCUGAGGCGCGAAAGCCAGGGGAGCAAACGGG
rnacentral:rRNA from 1 species